rnacentral:lncRNA from 1 species
UUUGUCUCUUUCUAUGCAGGGAAAGUGGAGACUCAGAGUGUUUAAGUGACCUGCCUAAGGCACGGAGCUGGCAGCAGAGGUUGGCCCACACCCCAGCUUCCGACUGUCGCUCUCUUCUACAGGGCAUUCUCAGAUUCCUGGAUGCUGAUACAUUCCUGUCCCAUCUAGGAUCCGGCAGCGUCUGCUUUAUUCUCCAGAAUCCCUGUAUUUGCCCCAAAGAUGUCCCUUUGCCAUUUUUCCUUCUUGUAUUCCCUGGCUUUGGUGUCAAAGAAGAUGAAAAAGUGCGGAUUUAGAAUUCAUUCCUAAGAAUGUGAAGACCGGGCAUUGCUGGGUGUCUCUGGACUGCCGCGGCUCACUGCCGGCCAGUCAGCUGAAACCCAGCAUCAGGAACGCAGGGUCUUUAUGGGAACUGCUGUUGUCCGCCAGAAUCAUUCUAAAUAUAUUAAAAGUAGGUUAACUUACUAUGCUUCCUGCAUUUAUUCUUCCAGCUGAAAUUUCCCUGACUUUUUUUUUUCCUUUUCAUUUUAUUAGGUUAAUAAAACUUGGUUUUCCAGCAUUUCGCUGCCCCAGGAGGGCAGUGGGCCCCCUGUCCAAUUCAUCAACUGCCUAAUGAGCGGCCCCGGAGGUCCCGGCCCGUCCAUUCCAGAAGCUCUCUCUGCCUUGUAAAGCCGCCCACCUCGAGCCCAGAAGAGCAGGAGCGCAGAGGGGCGGUUAUGCUUACGGUGCCUGCAGGACAAGACAAAGUGGAAAGCUGCUCUUUGUCACCCACCCGGCCCCGAUGGCAGCUAACAGACCUCAUCCACACAAUUGGCUGGGACUCGACUCCCUUGUAACACCAGGUCCCUCUUCUGCAGUCUCUGUGCACUCGUGGAGGAGCAGUGUGGAGGGUCUCUGAGGCCAGGGGGAGCACCAGCAUCAGCCAGCACCUCCGUUCUUCGACAGAGGGAAGACGCGAUUGCGUGGCUCUCAGCAGUGACAUCAGAGUGUCCACGUGCCCCCGACCGUGUGCCCCAGCUGUAUGCAU